UGGGGAAUAUUGGACAAUGGGCGAAAGCCUGAUCCAGCCAUGCCGCGUGUGUGAAGAAGGUCUUCGGAUUGUAAAGCACUUUAAGUUGGGAGGAAGGGCAGUAAGCGAAUACCUUGCUGUUUUGACGUUACCGACAGAAUAAGCACCGGCUAACUCUGUGCCAGCAGCCGCGGUAAUACAGAGGGUGCAAGCGUUAAUCGGAAUUACUGGGCGUAAAGCGCGCGUAGGUGGUUCGUUAAGUUGAAUGUGAAAGCCCCUGGCUCAACCUGGGAACUGCAUCCAAAACUGGCGAGCUAGAGUAGGGCAGAGGGUGGUGGAAUUUCCUGUGUAGCGGUGAAAUGCGUAGAUAUAGGGAGGAACACCAGUGGCGAAGGCGACCACCUGGGCUCAUACUGACACUGAGGUGCGAAAGCGUGGGGAGCAAACAGG
rnacentral:rRNA from 1 species